GUGCUUAUGUGACUGACUUUGUUUACAACUUAAGAAGUUCAAUGCAUUCUAAUUUCUUUUCGGAGCCUUAUCCCGAACGAUUAUCGCCAGAAAACAGCUUAUGUUUUCUCUGCCCUAUGUACCGACAUGAUGGAGAAGGAACAUCCUCUGUGUCAGCUGGACCCUCAGCAGAGAAUGAACUCAACAUCCUUUUUGUCCGGUACUCUAUGUCACACACUGUGCCAAAAAAACGUGUACAGACGCCACUACCAGGUAAUCCCAUGACUGGGAGCCACACUUUUGUUUCUCUCACACUGUUCAACAACAUGAUAACUGCUCACACAAGUGAAGGUCAAACAGUGAUUUUGUUACAUAACUCAGACAUAGGUUACGAAAUAUGUCGUCACAUAGAUCUAACCUACCCUAUCCACUGUACUAUUUCUGCAGUUACAUUGCCAGCUGAAUACCAGAA
ensembl:lncRNA